AGAAAGAGAAGUAAAUAUUUCAUGAUGCUUUUCUCCAACACUUGAGUACUGGUAUAGAAUAGAGUAUUACAGCCUCAUAAUGUACAGCAGGGUUUCCCAAACUCAGUUGUGGGGCCCACCCUGGGUCCAUAUAUCUUUUUUGCCCUAGCACUACACAGCUGAUUCAAAUAACCAAUUUAAAUGACUUUGGGAAACCCUGCUUUACAGCAUAAAUAUACUUGUAAAUAGACUUACUGCAUUUCACAAACACUAGCAUUAGAAAUACAGUACUGACAUAGACAAAUAGCACAGUACAACAUAAUGCUUUUACAUACAGUACAGUGGUGGUGAAGGCUAGGAUAAAUCCUUUUCAUUAGGGAGAUGGAUGGCACAAAUCAUUUAUGAACCCAGGUUGAUUUUCAGUAGUGGGGUCCUGUACCAUCAUCUUGAUGGUAAUAACUUGUAUUAUAAAUCACUACAUUCCUCCCUCAGCCAUGUGCAGACCAGACUCAUAUGAAGUUUCAAAGGUGGAAUGGGUGUUAUAGAACAUGUGUAAAUUAUAAUUCAUUGGUGGGUUAAAGUGCAUCAACUUUUGAAUAAGCUUAUCUCUGCUUGAUUAAUAACUGGACAUAUUUUCCUUUUUUGCCCCAUUCAAAAUACCCUGGUAGAUGCGUCAUGGGUAAAACAUUUGUAUUUCCAUACUUAUUCCUAAGAAUAAGAGUAGGCUUUAGCCGGCUGGUGUCAGUAUUAGAGGACCAAAAAUUAUCCAAGGCACUGGUUUAACGGUACUGAUUUACAAGAAUAUGAAUAUGAAAACGUAUUAAAAGAUUACAACUUUAAGAAGAAGAGUUAAAGUGAUGGAAUUAAGGCAGAGAUAACGCAGCAGCAUCCUGAUCUGGGGGUUUGGGUAGUCCUGAGUGCUGUCCCUGUCACUUUCUCUGGGGGUUGGGUCCAAAUAGCUUGGUUAAGGGAUGGGUAGUCCUGAGUGCUGUCCCAAAAAAGGAAAGAGAUAGGGAAGAGAUAAUGAAAAGGAUGUAGCAAGCAGUAUCUACAAAUGUCUGGUGUUUAGGCCCUCAGUGACAUCAUAAUCACAGUAUCUAUGAAUGUCUGGUGGUCAGGUCCUCAGUGACAUUAUAAUCACAGUAUCUAUGAAUGUCUGGUGGUCAGGUCCUCAGUGACAUCAUAAUCACAGUAUCUAUGAAUGUCUGGUGGUCAGGUCCUCAGUGACAUCAUAAUCACAGUAUCUAUGAAUGUCUGGUGGUCAGGUCCUCAGUGACAUCAUAAUCACAGUAUCUAUGAAUGUCUGGUGGUCAGGUCCUCAGUGACAUUAUAAUCACAGUAUCUAUGAAUGUCUGGUGGUCAGGUCCUCAGUGACAUCAUAAUCAUAAGCUAUAGACAAGUCUGUUGUUACAGCCUGAUAGAGAACACACUCACCCUUAUAUGACAUAGUUUUUUAUUUUGCGCUUCUUGAUACACCUGUAAGUAAUGAUGCCAAUGCAAACAACGACCAGGACAGGGAUAAGUAAACACCACCACCCUUAAUAACAACAGAUAAAAACACAACAUUAUUGGAUAAGUAUGUAUCAUAUUACAAUUGGAGGACUAAUUAUUUACAAUGAGGAGGAAUCAUAAAGCACUAAUCAAUCAACGGAUUAAUAUUUUUUUUUUUAAAAAGCCACUGAGGAGUAUAUUAGUCUGUCAGAGUGAAAUUGUCAGUGUUGAGCAGCAUUGCUGCGCUGUGUAUUUCUGCACUCACCAGGAUGUCCAUAUUGAGCAGCAGCUCCAGUGAAGUCUGAACCUGCCACCAAGACAAACAACUCAACAGCCAGACUGCAGAUGUCUUUGUUAGGGAUUCACUCAACUGUACACAGGACAAUUAAGUCUCACUAACAAAGCUAGGAUGGGAAUCAAUCCGAGUGUCAAUUUGGACAAUGCUCCAUUUUAAGGUAAUUUUCAAUUGAGCAACCGUGAAUGUGAUCUCCACUAAGGCAGAAACAUUGCCUUUAAAACGUGCAUUGUGGGCAAAGCUCAAUCAGACUGAAUCCUGGCCUUAGUGUUCAAUUAAGCAAGGGACACUGCAUAAAUAGUGCUGUGUAAAAUGACCAUAAGAUUCUCUACAGCCAGUUUGUGAAAAUAAUACAGAAUGUUUGAAUCGAUGACUCACCAUUCACAGUAGUUGGUGCGAUGCCGAUGACAAGGCAAUCUGAAAUAGCAGAACAGGGCUGAUUAGCCUACAUGCAACAAUUGACAGACGGAGCACAUAUGGAAAUUUGUUUUUGGUUUGGUGAUGGAUUUUUUCUCAUACUCUAUAAUAUAGGCUACUGGUAACUUCCUAUAGCCCCUGGGAUUAUAGACACCCAGGACCAUCGAUUU
rnacentral:lncRNA from 1 species